rnacentral:rRNA from 1 species
UACGGAGGGUGCGAGCGUUGUCCGGAAUCACUGGGCGUAAAGGGCGCGUAGGCGGCCUGAUAAGUAGGGGGUGAAAUCCUGUGGCUUAACCGCAGGGCUGCCUUCUAAACUGUCGGGCUAGAGCACAGUAGAGGCAGGUGGAAUUCCCGGUGUAGCGGUGGAAUGCGUAGAUACCGGGAGGAACACCGGUGGCGAAGGCGGCGACCUGGGUCGAUACUGACGCUGAGGUGCGAAAGCGUGGGGAGCAAACAGG